rnacentral:rRNA from 1 species
UACGAAGGGGGCUAGCGUUGCUCGGAAUCACUGGGCGUAAAGGGCGCGUAGGCGGCCAAUCAAGUCAGGGGUGAAAUCCCGAGGCUUAACCUCGGAACUGCCUUUGAUACUGUUUGGCUCGAGACCGGAAGAGGUAAGUGGAACUGCGAGUGUAGAGGUGAAAUUCGUAGAUAUUCGCAAGAACACCAGUGGCGAAGGCGGCUUACUGGUCCGGUACUGACGCUGAGGUGCGAAAGCGUGGGGAGCAAACAGG